UCUUUUUUUCUUUACUUUUGAUGAUGAUUAGUUUUAAAAACAAACCCAGCUCCAUGUUGUUUGUAAUCAGGGAAAGAAGGGGAGAGCCUGUUGCCAGGGAAAACACACCUUCAUCCCAAACUGCUCGCAGAGAAACAACCGCUUUCUAGCUCUCUGGUUAGAGAAUUUUUCACAUUGGUUAAACAUAAAUUGCUGUGGAAUGACAUUAGACAUUUCUCAACCUGCUGGUUUUGCAUGGCGACAGAUUCUAAAGCUAGAAGGGACCUUCAUCGUCUGCUAGUUGGACCUCCUGCAAAACAAAGGGCCAGAGAACUUCACCCAAUUAUUCCUCUGUCCUGCCCAAGAGCUUCGGGUGGAGCCGGAGAAUAGCUUUAAGAAAGUGACAUUCACUUGUGAUGUAAAGCAGCGGCUCUCAACCUUUCCAGACAUCUGUCCCCCUUUCAGGAGUCUGGUUUGUCUUGUGUACCCCCAAGUUUCACCUCGCUUAAAAAUGACUUGCUCACAAAACCAGACAUAGAAAUACCAAAGUGUCCCAGCGCAGGUUACUGAAAAACUACUGACGUUCUCCUUGUUACCAUAUCAUUAUAAAAUAAAUCCAUUGGAAUAUAAAUAUUGUACUUGCAUUUCAGUGUCUAGUAUUUAGAGCAGGAUAAACAAAUCAUUGUCUGGGUGAAAUUUUAGUUGAUUUAUUGUAUUUAGUCUAUUUAUGCAGUCUGUGGUAAAACAAGGCAAAUAUCUGGAUAAGUUGAUGUACCCCCUGG